CUUCCCUGAUCAGAAAGGCACUACGGGUAUCGCAGAUCGUAUGGAAAACCUCUCCACGAAUUAAGUUUCGUUUGGGCAUGAUAAAAAUCUAACAGUUUGUUUUUAAUUGUUGAUUUCUUGUGAAUUCCAGUGAAUUUAGCAAACCACUACUUCCUGUGGCAAGAGCCGGCAUAUUAUUUGCAGAAAUAUUGCAGCUUCUCUGCAAACACAGGAGCCAAAAGGAAGUGGAGGCCUUAUGGAGGGACUCUAAACUGAGCUGGGCUGAUUUUCUUCCUGAAACCGUGGAUGGGAACAACUUCAUUACUGAGCAGACCUGAUGAAGUCUGAUGAUCUGAAGAGGGUGGAGCUGAGACUUCAGACAGCAGACGGACUUCUGAGGAGGAACAUCAACACCACACGAGAGGUGAGAACUCGUUCGAUGUCCAGCUGCGAGAGAGAAAAGCGGCGCUGGAAACAUCCCGGGCGGACGCUCACUCGUCCCAGAUAUGGCUGAAUCACAGCUGCUAAAGAACAUAGGGGAUGUGAUAGCAGGAGUGCUUCUGGACCUUCCUGAUCAACUUGAUAAGUCCGUUGAAGAUACUUUAAAAACACUUGGUGCGGCAACCACAGAUGAUUUAAAGAACGUCACAGAAAACAAUUUGCUGCCAGUGUUAAAGCCCAUACAAGCACGAAGACUGGUUGCUGCCUGGACCCAAAAUAGUGAGUAUAGAACAAUGUCACCACACCACCCAAUGGCACACUUGUUAACAUGCUGUUAAGGUUAGAAUAUGAAUUUUUAUGAGUCUAAUGAUGAUGUGAUCAUCAUUAUUUCCUGAAUAAAUAAAUGUUGUUAUUAUGCAAUAGGAGGCUGUUUUAAAAAUUUCAGCUCAGAAGCUCAGCCAGUAAGAUCAUUCAUCCUAUGAUGGAUGUAACUAUUGAAGAUGGAUCCUGCCUUAAUUGGUAAUAAAAAAAUAACUAAAUACAUGGCUUGAUUAAUUAUUGUGCCAAUUACAGCAUCCAAAAAAGAAACUUUACCAACUUAUUUUAUUAUACAUGGACAUAGAUCAAUAUUUAUCAUUUUCAGUUUUAAUUUAAAAUUAGCACUAUAAUUAAAUUUUUCCUUUUAUUUCCAAUCUUAUUGUUUAAUAAUUACUUUCCUUUUUAUGUAAUAUUUUUAUUUGGCACAUUAUUUACUUUAUCAAGCCAUUUUUUAUUUGUUUACUACCAAUAUUGGCAGCGUUCAUCCUCCAAAUUGUUUCAAGUAUCUGCAUUAUAUAUAUAACUGACAUUGAAGCCCUUCACCUCCGCCAUCUGCCUGAUGUUUAGCAGUUAUUACUGCUUUAACACACACUACCCAGUGGAGCUACGAUCAACACUGGA